rnacentral:rRNA from 1 species
UCGAUUGAGUUUGAUCCUGGCUCAGGACGAACGUUGGCGGUGCGCUUUAUACAUGCAAGUCGUGCGCGAAAGGGCCCUUCGGGGCCCGAGUAGAGCGGCGAACGGGUGCGUAACACGUGAGCAACCUGCCCUGGAGUUGGGAAUAACUCCGAGAAAUCGGGGCUAAUACCGCAUGAUGCCUGGGAUCCUCAUGGACCCCUCGUUAAAGCCGGCCUCUGCUUGCAAGCUGGUGCUCCGGGAUGGGCUCGCGGCCUAUUAGCUAGUUGGUGAGGUAACGGCUCACCAAGGCUACGAUGGGUAGGGGGCGUGAGAGCGUGGCCCCCCACAUUGGGACUGAGAUACGGCCCAGACUCUUACGGGAGGCAGCAGUAAGGAAUCUUGCGCAAUGGGCGAAAGCCUGACGCGGCGACACCGCGUGAGGGAUGAAGGCCUUCGGGUUGUAAACCUCUGUCAGGGGGAAAGAAACUCCGGUUGGCGAAUAACCGAUCGGACUGACGGUACCCCCAAAGGAAGCGCCGGCUAACUCCGUGCCAGCAGCCGCGGUAAGACGGAGGGCGCAAACGUUGUUCGGAAUCACUGGGCGUAAAGGGCGCGUAGGCGGAUCGGUAAGUCAGAGGUGAAAGCCUGGGGCUCAACUCCAGGACUGCCUUUGAAACUGCCGUUCUAGAGUUCAGGAGAGGAAGGCGGAAUUCCAGGUGUAGCGGUGGAAUGCGUAGAUAUCUGGAAGAACACCAGUGGCGAAGGCGGCCUUAUGG